rnacentral:rRNA from 1 species
CGGCAUGCCUAAGACAUAGCAAGUCGAACGCGAGGGCCCAAUGAAGACAUUGAAACUGAAGAAGCUUGCUUUUGAAGCGGAGUUUGUUGGAUUUGGAUUUCCCUCGAGUGGCAAACGGGUGAGUAACACGUGGGUUACCUGCCUCUAUGUUGGGGAUAACAGUUGGAAACGAUUGCUAAUACCGAAUGUGCUCUUCGGAGUAAAGAAGCCCUUAAAGCUUCGCGUAGAGAUGGGCCUGCGGUGCAUUAGCUUGUUGGUGGGGUAACGGCCUACCAAGGCGACGAUGCAUAGCCGAACUGAGAGGUUAAUCGGCCACACUGGGACUGAGACACGGCCCAGACUCCUACGGGAGACAGCAGUUAGGAAUAUUCGUCAAUGGGGGAAACCCUGAACGAGCAAUGCCGCGUGAAGGAUGAAGGUUCCCUAUGGAUUGUAAACUUCUGUUGUUUGGAACGAAUGAUUAGAUGAGGAAAUGCUUCUAAUUUGACGGUACCAUUCAAGAAAGCCACGGCUAACUACGUGCCAGCAGCAGC